rnacentral:rRNA from 1 species
CGUUGACCUCAGAUCAGGCAAGAUUACCCGUCAUAGCUGUUUCC